rnacentral:lncRNA from 1 species
CUUGAGCUGGAGCACCCUUGGGGCAGGUGGGGCCCUGACCCAGUGAGGCCAGCCUGGCUGCGGCCACCUACCCUGUGCCAGGUGCUGCCAGACCGCGACGGAAAGCGCUGCAUGUUCUGUGUGAAGACAGCCAACCGCACGUAUGAGAUGAGCGCCUCAGACACGCGCCAGCGCCAGGAGUGGACAGCUGCCAUCCAGAUGGCGAUCCGGCUGCAGGCCGAGGGGAAGACGUCCCUACACAAGGACCUGAAGCAGAAACGGCGCGAGCAGCGGGAGCAGCGGGAGCGGCGCCGGGCGGCCAAGGAAGAGGAGCUGCUGCGGCUGCAGCAGCUGCAGGAGGAGAAGGAGCGGAAGCUGCAGGAGCUGGAGCUGCUGCAGGAGGCGCAGCGGCAGGCCGAGCGGCUGCUGCAGGAGGAGGAGGAACGGCGCCGCAGCCAGCACCGCGAGCUGCAGCAGGCGCUCGAGGGCCAACUGCGCGAGGCGGAGCAGGCCCGGGCCUCCAUGCAGGCUGAGAUGGAGCUGAAGGAGGAGGAGGCUGCCCGGCAGCGGCAGCGCAUCAAGGAGCUGGAGGAGAUGCAGCAGCGGUUGCAGGAGGCCCUGCAACUAGAGGUGAAAGCUCGGCGAGAUGAAGAAUCUGUGCGAAUCGCUCAGACCAGACUGCUGGAAGAGGAGGAAGAGAAGCUGAAGCAGUUGAUGCAGCUGAAGGAGGAGCAGGAGCGCUACAUCGAACGGGCGCAGCAGGAGAAGGAAGAGCUGCAGCAGGAGAUGGCACAGCAGAGCCGCUCCCUGCAGCAGGCCCAGCAGCAGCUGGAGGAGGUGCGGCAGAACCGGCAGAGGGCUGACGAGGAUGUGGAGGCUGCCCAGAGAAAACUGCGCCAGGCCAGCACCAACGUGAAACACUGGAAUGUCCAGAUGAACCGGCUGAUGCAUCCAAUUGAGCCUGGAGAUAAGCGUCCGGUCACCAGCAGCUCCUUCUCAGGCUUCCAGCCCCCUCUGCUUGCCCACCGUGACUCCUCCCUAAAGCGCCUGACCCGCUGGGGAUCCCAGGGCAACAGGACCCCCUCGCCCAACAGCAAUGAGCAGCAGAAGUCCCUCAAUGGUGGGGAUGAGGCUCCUGCCCCGGCUUCCACCCCUCAGGAAGAUAAACUGGAUCCAGCACCAGAAAAUUAGCCUCUCUUAGCCCCUUGUUCUUCCCAAUGUCAUAUCCACCAGGACCUGGCCACAGCUGGCCUGUGGGUGAUCCCAGCUCUUACUAGGAGAGGGAGCUGAGGUCCUGGUGCCAGGGGCCCAGGCCCUCCAACCAUAAACAGUCCAGGAUGGAACCUGGUUCACCCUUCAUACCAGCUCCAAGCCCCAGACCAUGGGAGCUGUCUGGGAUGUUGAUCCUUGAGAACUUGGCCCUGUGCUUUAGACCCAAGGACCCGAUUCUUGGGCUAGGAAAGAGAGAACAAGCAAGCCGGGGCUACCUGCCCCCAGGUGGCCACCAAGUUGUGGAAGCACAUUUCUAAAUAAAAACUGCUCUUAG